rnacentral:hammerhead_ribozyme from 1 species
AUGCGAAACCACCCCGCCGUCUGGCGGGAUGGUCUGCCCAGCGUGGUUGCUGGGUACUGAUGAGCAGCCAAGG